rnacentral:rRNA from 1 species
UGCAAGUCGAGCGGGAUUGGUAGCAAUACCAUGAGAGCGGCGCACGGGUGCGUAACGCGUAUGCAACCUGCCUUAUACAAAGGGAUAGCCCAUGGAAACGUGGAUUAAUAUCUUAUAGAACUUGUGAAUCGCAUGGUUUACAAGUUAAAACUGAGGUGGUAUAAGAUGGGCAUGCGUCUGAUUAGGUAGUUGGUAGGGUAACGGCCUACCAAGCCGACGAUCAGUAGGGGUUCUGAGAGGAUUAUCCCCCACACUGGUACUGAGACACGGACCAGACUCCUACGGGAGGCAGCAGUGAGGAAUAUUGGUCAAUGGGCGCGAGCCUGAACCAGCCAUCCCGCGUGCAGGAUGACGGCCCUAUGGGUUGUAAACUGCUUUUCUGCUCCAAGAAACCUGAUUACGUGUAAUCAGUUGACGGUAGAGUAGGAAUAAGCACCGGCUAACUCCGUGCCAGCAGCCGCGGUAAUACGGAGGGUGCAAGCGUUAUCCGGAUUCAUUGGGUUUAAAGGGUGCGCAGGUGGGAAAGUAAGUCAGUGGUGAAAUACUGCCGCUUAACGGUAGAACUGCCAUUGAUACUGUUUUUCUUGAGUAUGGUUGAGGUAGGUGGAAUGUGUUGUGUAGCGGUGAAAUGCAUAGAUAUGACACAGAACGCCGAUUGCGAACGCAACUUACUAAGCCAUUACUGACGCUGAUGCACGAAAGCGUGGGUAGCGAACAGGAUUAGAUACCCUGGUAGUCCACGCCGUAAACGACGUUCACUCGCUGUUUGCGAUACACAGUAAGCGGCUGAGCGAAAGCAUUAAGUGAACCACCUGGGGAGUACGAUCGC